UUCAAUCAUCGAAAAUAUGUCCGAGUAACCAAGCGAUAUAACAAGAACAAUAUCCAUAAAUCCUAAGAAUUAAUAAGCAAUGAAAAUAAACCAAAAUGUCAUGACAACAUGUAUACAAUAGUUCUACCACAUUGCCUUUAUUUUCCCAGAACAUAAACAGAGAAAUAAACACCUACGAAUUAACGUAAGAGACUUGCUUGGAUCACCCAUCG
rnacentral:lncRNA from 1 species